AUUGAACGCUGGCGGAAUGCUUUACACAUGCAAGUCGAACGGCAGCACGGACUUCGGUCUGGUGGCGAGUGGCGAACGGGUGAGUAAUGUAUCGGAACGUGCCCAGUCGUGGGGGAUAACGUAGUGAAAAUUACGCUAAUACCGCAUACGCUCUAUGGAUGAAAGCGGGGGAUCGCAAGACCCCGCGCGAUUGGAGCGGCCGAUAUCAGAUUAGGUAUUUGGUGGGGUAAAGGCCCACCAAGCCAACGAUCUGUAGCUGGUCUGAGAGGACGACCAGCCACACUGGAACUGAGACACGGUCCAGACUCCUACGGGAGGCAGCAGUGGGGAAUUUUGGACAAUGGGCGAAAGCCUGAUCCAGCCAUUCCGCGUGCAGGAUGAAGGCCCUCGGGUUGUAAACUGCUUUUGUACAGAACGAAAAGGUUUCUACUAAUACUAGGAGCUCAUGACGGUACUGUAAGAAUAAGCACCGGCUAACUACGUGCCAGCAGCCGCCGUAA
rnacentral:rRNA from 1 species